GACGAACGCUGGCGGCGUGCUUAACACAUGCAAGUCGAACGGAAAGGCCCUGCUUUUGUGGGGUGCUCGAGUGGCGAACGGGUGAGUAACACGUGAGUAACCUGCCCUUGACUUUGGGAUAACUUCAGGAAACUGGGGCUAAUACCGGAUAGGUGCUCCUGCUGCAUGGUGGGGGUUGGAACGUUUCGGCGGUUGGGGAUGGACUCGCGGCUUAUCAGCUUGUUGGUGGGGUAGUUGCUUACCAAGGCUUUGACGGGUAGCCGGCCUGAGAGGGGGACCGGCCACAUGAGGACUGAGAUACGGCCCAGACUCCUACGGGGGGCAGCGGUGGGGAAUAUUGCACAAUGAGCGGAAGCCUGAUGCAGCGACGCCGCGUGCGGGAUGACGGCCUUCGGGUUGUAAACCGCUUUCGCCUGUGACGAAGCGUGAGUGACGGUAAUGGGUAAAGAAGCACCGGCUAACUACGUG
rnacentral:rRNA from 1 species